rnacentral:tRNA from 1 species
GGCUACGUAGCUUAGGGGUCUAAAGCACUUGUGUCAUAAACAAGGGAUCGCUGGUUCAAAUCCAGCCGUAGCCA